AAGCAUGUGUGAGACAAUGAUUUGCAGUUAGAAUUGGUCACGUUAAAUUGCAAGGAGUCAAACGUGAACCCGGCACACUCAUAU
rnacentral:ncRNA from 15 species